rnacentral:rRNA from 1 species
AUGAACGUCUUGGCGGCAGGCCUAACACAUGCAAGUCGAGACGGUAACAGAAAGUAGCUUGCUACUUUGCUGACGAGCGGCGGACGGGUGAGUAAUGCUUGGGAACAUGCCUUUAGGUGGGGGACAACAGUUGGAAACGACUGCUAAUACCGCAUGAUGUCUACGGACCAAAGGGGGCUUCGGCUCUCGCCUAAAGAUUGGCCCAAGUGGGAUUAGCUAGUUGGUGAGGUAAUGGCUCACCAAGGCAACGAUCCCUAGCUGGUUUGAGAGGAUGAUCAGCCACACUGGAACUGAGACACGGUCCAGACUACUACGGGAGGCAGCAGUGGGGAAUAUUGCACAAUGGGCGCAAGCCUGAUGCAGCCAUGCCGCGUGUGUGAAGAAGGCCUUCGGGUUGUAAAGCACUUUCAGUCAGGAGGAAAGGUUAGUAGUUAAUACCUGCUAGCUGUGACGUUACUGACAGAAGAAGCACCGGCUAACUCCGUGCCAGCAGCCGCGGUAAUACGGAGGGUGCGAGCGUUAAUCGGAAUUACUGGGCGUAAAGCGUACGCAGGCGGUUUGUUAAGCGAGAUGUGAAAGCCCCGGGCUCAACCUGGGAACUGCAUUUCGAACUGGCAAACUAGAGUGUGAUAGAGGGUGGUAGAAUUUCAGGUGUAGCGGUGAAAUGCGUAGAGAUCUGAAGGAAUACCGAUGGCGAAGGCAGCCACCCUGGGUCANACUGACGCUCAUGUACGAAAGCGUGGGAGCCAACAGGAUUAGAUACCUGGUAGUCACGCCGUAACGAUGUCACUUGAGCUCGACUUCGGAUUGUUUCAAGCUACGAUUAAGUAACGCC